rnacentral:rRNA from 1 species
AUAUUGGACAAUGGGGGGAACCCUGAUCCAGCCAUGCCGCGUGUGUGAAGAAGGCCUUAUGGUUGUAAAGCACUUUAAGCGAGGAGGAGGCUACUUUAGUUAAUACCUAGAGAUAGUGGACGUUACUCGCAGAAUAAGCACCGGCUAACUCUGUGCCAGCAGCCGCGGUAAUACAGAGGGUGCGAGCGUUAAUCGGAUUUACUGGGCGUAAAGCGUGCGUAGGCGGCUUAUUAAGUCGGAUGUGAAAUCCCCGAGCUUAACUUGGGAAUUGCAUUCGAUACUGGUGAGCUAGAGUAUGGGAGAGGAUGGUAGAAUUCCAGGUGUAGCGGUGAAAUGCGUAGAGAUCUGGAGGAAUACCGAUGGCGAAGGCAGCCAUCUGGCCUAAUACUGACGCUGAGGUGCGAAAGCAUGGGGAGCAAACAGGAUUAGAUACCCUGGUAGUCCAUGCCGUAAACGAUGUCUACUAGCCGUU